rnacentral:lncRNA from 10 species
GCCGAGCAUCUUGGAGGACCUGAAGAGCCGGGAGGCCAUGGUGGCCUUUUUAAACUCAGCUUUAGUCAGUGCCGAGGAGGAGCAGCAGGCACAGCUACAUGGGCAGCUGAAGGAGCAAAGGGUGUGUUGCCAGCACCUGGCUCACCCAGUGGCCUUGGCCCAGAAGGAGCCAGAGGCGGCAGCCCCAACCCCAAGGACCGGGGGCGAUUCCGCGUGUGGGGAGACCCACCGGGCUGUGGAAAAUUUGAGCUACAAAUUAGCAAGAGUUUACUCUUCACAUGAAUGUUGUCAGAUUCAUCUUUUAAUAAUUGGUGUUUAUAUUUUCAUU